rnacentral:rRNA from 1 species
AGCCUACGGGGCGCAGCAGUAGGGAAUCUUUCACAAUGGGCGAAAGCCUGAUGGAGCAACGCCGCGUGCAGGAUGAAGGCCUUCGGGUUGUAAACUGCUUUUCUAAGCGAGAAAUAUGAGUGUACCUGAAGAAAAAGCAUCGGCUAACUCCGUGCCAGCAGCCGCGGUAAUACGGAGGAUGCGAGCGUUAUCCGGAUUUAUUGGGUUUAAAGGGUGCGCAGGCGGUCUGUUAAGUCAGCGGUCAAAGCCCGGGGCUCAACCCCGGCCCGCCGUUGAAACUGGCAGUCUCGAGUUGGAG